GAGUCAGGCUGACCGGAGCUGUAAAGCCCUUCUCGUUCUCACUGUGUGUUCUUUUCAGUUCUGUCUUCCUGAGGCUGCUGUUUCUGGGCAUGGCCAGGGGAUCUUCAGACUUUACAAACCAGUUGUGCAGAGCCAGGCAUUUCAAUAAGGAACAAAAUGCUGAGUAACAACAUGAAGUCAGAGUGUUGCUUGCCAAGAGCUGGGAGGCCUGGGUGGUUUCCCAAUCUUAAAGAAGCAGAAGGAUAUUAAAGUGAGCCUCCCAAAGGAAAACGUGGAUCUACUUACCAACGCAGAAAAUGAUACACACGGAUUCGAUUUAGAAUUCUGGAGGAAAGUGGCUCUGGGAAUUGAACAGUGGCUCAGUGAUGUUGGGGCCACCAAGUCUGCAAUUCUCCCUACCUGUUCUUCAUGGUUGUAAGAUGACUGCUGCAAUUCUCGGCAUCAUGUGCAUGUUAAUGUCAGGAGGAAGAAAGGAAGAGGGAGCACUGGGAUGUUACAUUCAUUUUGUCAGGAAAAGCAAAGCCUUUCCAGACAGCUCCGAAACUUGCUUACCUCUCAUUGGCCAGCACCAUCACUUGACCACUUGUCCACUCCUAGCUGCAAGGAAAGUGGCAAAGUAGAAGGUAUUUGAGAAUGUCUGCUGGGUUAGCCAAAACAAUAGUGACUUCUACACCCAAUUUUCUGGGCACUGCAGAAGUAUCCUUGAGUCCUAUGUGAUCAGAGGGAGAGCAAACCUCAAUAAUGAAACAGAUUCAAUUUCCAUCACCCAGUGAGACACCAUGGGAUUAGAAUAAAUUUUUAAAAAAACAAAUUGAAAAAAAUGCAUUUUUAAAACAACAAAAUCAGAAAGGAUGAAAGGUGAUAUUUCUAGCAUAUCAGUUUGUGGUGGUAAAUUAAUUACCUUAUACAAAGGCCUCAGUGACUUUCUUCUCCUUACCUAACGAAUCAUCUUUAAAAUAAGUAAAAUAAAGAAACAAGAGCAGCAGCAGAUGCUUCCUAAAAAGAAGUUACCAAAUCUGUUCACCACAAACCUGAGAAUUCAACUGUGGACAUUUGGACACCAGCAAUGAACAUGAAACUCAGCUUAUGAGGCAUAUUUGGCUAAAGGUCAAGGUGACUUAAAGUUCAUCAUAGGACAUCUACAAUUUGCAAAGCAGGUGACUGGAUAUGGACUCCUUCCAAGUCUCAUUUAAUUGGAUAAUGCCUACGUUUUAAGUAUCAGAAGUGAGUCUUUCUCUAUUAAAUGAAGUCAGUUCCACUAAAACCUAAA
ensembl:lncRNA LINC01094 long intergenic non-protein coding RNA 1094